rnacentral:tRNA from 4 species
GGCCCCGUCGUCUAACGGUUAGGACACCAUUCUUUCAAGAUGGGAACACGGGUUCGAUUCCCGUCGGGGUCA